AACGAACGCUGGCGGCAGGCUUAACACAUGCAAGUCGAGCGCCCCGCAAGGGGAGCGGCAGACGGGUGAGUAACGCGUGGGAAUCUACCCAUCUCUACGGAAUAACGCAUGGAAACGUGUGCUAAUACCGUAAACGUCCUUCGGGAGAAAGAUUUAUCGGAGAUGGAUGAGCCCGCGUUGGAUUAGCUAGUUGGUGGGGUAAAGGCCUACCAAGGCAACGAUCCAUAGCUGGUCUGAGAGGAUGAUCAGCCACACUGGGACUGAGACACGGCCCAGACUCCUACGGGAGGCAGCAGUGGGGAAUAUUGGACAAUGGGCGCAAGCCUGAUCCAGCCAUGCCGCGUGAGUGAUGAAGGCCCUAGGGUUGUAAAGCUCUUUCACCGGUGAAGAUAAUGACGGUAACCGGAGAAGAAGCCCCGGCUAACUUCGUGCCAGCCGCCGCAGUAAUAC
rnacentral:rRNA from 1 species